AAGUAGCGAGAGUUAAGUGAGAAUCUUAACGGUCGAAAACCUAAGGUUUCCUGAGGAAGGCUCGUCCUCUCAGGGUUAGUCGGGACCUAAGCCGAGGCCGAAAGGCGUAGGUGAUGGACAAUCGGUUGAUAUUCCGAUACCACCAAUGGACGUUAUUAGAAAUGGGAUGACGCAGGAGGAUAAGAUGUGCACACUAUUGGAUGUGUGUCUAAGCAUUUAGGCGGAGCAAGCAGGCAAAUCCGUUUGCUCGGAACGUUGAGAUGUUAUGGGGAAGGGAAUUUAUUCCUGAAGUAUCUGAUUCCACGCUGCCAAGAAAAGUCUCUAUCGAGGAUAUUGGUGCCCGUACCGCAAACCGACACAGGUAGGUGAGGAGAGAAUCCUAAGACCAUCGGAAGAAUUGCUGUUAAGGAACUCGGCAAAUUGACCCCGUAACUUCGGGAGAAGGGGUGCCUACGAAAGUAGGUCGCAGAGAAUAGGCCCAAGCAACUGUUUAGCAAAAACACAGGUCUCUGCUAAAGCGAAAGCUGAUGUAUAGGGGCUGACGCCUGCCCGGUGCUGGAAGGUUAAGGGGAUUA
rnacentral:rRNA from 1 species